rnacentral:rRNA from 1 species
GACGACACGGUCCUACGGGAGGCAGCAGUGGGGAAUCUUCCACAAUGGGCGCAAGCCUGAUGGAGCAACACCGCGUGAGUGAAGAAGGGUUUCGGCUCGUAAAGCUCUGUUGUUAAAGAAGAACACGUAUGAGAGUAACUGUUCAUACGUUGACGGUAUUUAACCAGAAAGUCACGGCUAACUACGUGCCAGCAGCCGCGGUAAUACGUAGGUGGCAAGCGUUAUCCGGAUUUAUUGGGCGUAAAGAGAGUGCAGGCGGUUUUCUAAGUCUGAUGUGAAAGCCUUCGGCUUAACCGGAGAAGUGCAUCGGAAACUGGAUAACUUGAGUGCAGAAGAGGGUAGUGGAACUCCAUGUGUAGCGGUGGAAUGCGUAGAUAUAUGGAAGAACACCAGUGGCGAAGGCGGCUACCUGGUCUGCAACUGACGCUGAGACUCGAAAGCAUGGGUAGCGAACAGGAUUAGAUACCCUGGUAG